UUUUUAUAUGGGAUGAAGAUCUGGGAGUAGAGCACUUUAAUGGAAACAAGUAAGUUUCUAUUUGACCAUUCAUUUUUCUCCAUUGAAUCCCUUUAUUAAAUGAUUCUUCCAAUGGACCAUCAUAAUUUACUAGGUACAUUGAGCUGGUUAAGAAACAUGGUUUGGAGAUCUCUCAACUUGGUCUUGAGCCCAACAAUGGACUGACAUGGGAGAUGACAAAGAGGAGAGGAGACCAAGAAGUUCACAAGUAUAUUUCAUGGACACACAGAUAUGGUAUUCUAUAUUCUGUACAAUAUUUGGUGGACUUUAUGGUAUUUUGCAUCACCUUGGUGAGCGGUCCAAUGGCUGGAGAUUUUAGUGGUCGGUUGCCUCCGAGCUCUGCUGGAUACCCAGACCAUACAUAGUAUGGGUUAACAUCAUCUUCUCUACCAACUCAGCAUAGCCAACCUCCUCCUGUGCCUAGAGGCCCUCCUAGUGGAAUGUAUCAGAGCUUACCGCAUUAUUAUUGAGAUGUGACAAGCGAAAUAGAAAAGGAUACUUAAUUUUGAAGGCUUUGUGUUGGGCAGCUGUAGAAUAUUUUGUGCUGAAAGUAGUAACUUUUCAAUAUGUUGAAUAUUUAAGACUACUUGAAUACUUAAAGAACAUUUUGUUGUUGAUGACAGUGUUGAAUGUUUUAAACUAAUUUAUGGAUUGUUAAUACAAUGUUGAAUAUUUUUACUUUUUGUUAUUUGAAAAUCAAGUUCAUUUGA